rnacentral:rRNA from 1 species
UACAGAGGUGGCAAGCGUUGUUCGGAAUUACUGGGCGUAAAGGGCGAGUAGGCGGCUUUUUAAGUCAGACGUGAAAUCCCCCGGCUUAACCUGGGAACUGCGUCUGAUACUGGAAGGCUUGAGUAUGGGAGAGGAAUGUGGAAUUCCUGGUGUAGCGGUGAAAUGCGCAGAUAUCAGGAGGAACACCGGUGGCGAAGGCGGGUCUCUGGGCCGUAACUGACGCUGAGGAGCGAAAGCAUGGGGAGCGAACAGG